CGGACGGGUGAGUAAUGCAUAGGAAUCUGCCCGUGUAGUGGGGGGACAACCUGGGGAAACUCAGGCUAAUACCGCAUGAGCCCUUCGGGGGAAAGCAGGGGGUCUUCGGACCUUGCGCUAUAGGAUGAGCCUAUGCCUGAUUAGCUUGUUGGUGGGGUAACGGCCUACCAAGGCGACGAUCAGUAGCUGGUCUGAGAGGACGAUCAGCCACACUGGGACUGAGACACGGCCCAG
rnacentral:rRNA from 1 species